rnacentral:rRNA from 1 species
GAUGAACGCUGGCGGCGUGCCUAAUACAUGCAAGUCGAGCGGAAAGGCCUCUUCGGAGGUACUCGAGCGGCGGACGGCUGAGUAACACGUAGGAACAUACCCUAAAGUGAGGGAUAACUGCUCGAAAGAGUAGCUAAUACCGCAUGUGGUCUUCGGAUUAAAGCUUCGGCGCUUUGGGAAUGGCCUGCGUCUGAUAGCUAGAUGGUGAGGUAAUGGCUCACCAUGGCGACGAUCAGUAGCUGGUCUGAGAGGAUGAUCAGCCAGACUGGGACUGAGACACGGCCCAGACUCCUACGGGAGGCAGCAGUAGGGAAUUUUCCACAAUGGGCGAAAGCCUGAUGGAGCAACGCCGCGUGCAGGAUGAAUGCCUUCGGGUUGUAAACUGCUUUUAUAUGUGACGAAUAUGACGGUAGCACAUGAAUAAGGAUCGGCUAACUCCGUGCCAGCCGCCGCAGUAA